AAUGAACGUUGGCGGCAUGGAUUAGGCAUGCAAGUCGAGCGAGAACCGUAGCAAUACGGGGACAGCGGCGAAAGGGAGAGUAAUGUGUGGAUAUCUACCUCCAGGCCUGGGACAACUACGGGAAACUGUAGCUAAUACCAGAUAAUGUCUGCGGACCAAAGGUGUGAUUCCUCCGGGAGAUGAGUCCACAUCCUAUUAGCUAGUUGGUAGGGGAAUGGCCUACCAAGGCAAUGAUGGGUAGAAGGUGUGAGAGCACGACCUGCCUCAUUGGGACUGAGACACUGCCCAGACACCUACUGGUGGCUGCAGUCGGGAAUCUUCGGCAAUGGGCGCAAGCCUGACCGAGCGAUGCCGCGUGCGGGAUGAAGGCCUUCGGGUUGUAAACCGCUGUCAGAGGGGAUGAAAUACGUCGGGGGUUCUCCCCCGGGUUUGACAUAUCCUCAGAGGAAGGACGGGCUAAGUUCGUGCCAGCAGCCGCGGUAA
rnacentral:rRNA from 1 species